GAAGACUUUCUGACUGGCUGUGCAGCAGGACUGGAUGUGAUGAUGGAUCACUCUUUUCUCUGUGUGCUGGGGUUAUUCUUGCUCCGUACGUCCAUUGAUGCAAAUGCUGAAGAAGAUGAAGCCAAAGCCACUCUGACAGCAGACAGUUCAAUCAUACCAGCAGGGGGCAGUGUGACUCUGACCUGUUCUCUGAAGAUUCCUGCAGGAUUC